AUUGAACGCUGGCGGCAGGCUUAACACAUGCAAGUCGAGCGGAGAGAGGUAGCUUGCUACUGAUCUUAGCGGCGGACGGGUGAGUAAUGCUUAGGAAUCUGCCUAUUAGUGGGGGACAACAUUUCGAAAGGAAUGCUAAUACCGCAUACGUCCUACGGGAGAAAGCAGGGGAUCUUCGGACCUUGCGCUAAUAGAUGAGCCUAAGUCGGAUUAGCUAGUUGGUGGGGUAAAGGCCUACCAAGGCGACGAUCUGUAGCGGGUCUGAGAGGAUGACCGGCCACACUGGGACUGAGACACGGCCCAGACUCCUACGGGAGGCAGCAGUGGGGAAUAUUGGACAAUGGGCGCAAGCCUGAUCCAGCCAUGCCGCGUGUGUGAAGAAGGCCUUAUGGUUGUAAAGCACUUUAAGCGAGGAGGAGGCUACUUUAGAUAAUACCUAGAGAUAGUGGACGUUACUCGCAGAAUAAGCACCGGCUAACUCUGUGCCAGCCGCCGCGGUAAAAC
rnacentral:rRNA from 1 species